AAUGCAAACCGAAACUCUUCGAGUGAGAAAGAUCCCGGAUGUGGCAGCGUGUACAGGCGCAUCGGCGUAAGGAAAGUUGGACGUCGUUCGUGUUCUUGCUUGCUGCUCAGCAUGUUGCACAUGAGUAAUAUCACGUGGAAAUAUCAAAUCGUGGAAUCAGAGCAAAGUGUGACAGUGACUAGUGAACUGGAAUGCGGAAACCACCGCCGCCACGUUUGAAGAGCCCAAUAGCCACGGUGGCCGUAAAUUGUGGGAAGUGGCAAAAGGUCAGCGACAGUGCCUACUCCGUCCGUAUCAAUGGUGAAGCUUUUCUUCGGCACUAAGAAGAAUCAGUGACGACUUCAUGAACUACAGUGCUGCUUUUUUGUUUCAUGUAAAGUGUCCUUGUAAGCACACAUUUCAGCAUUUCGAGUGUACAUUUCUGCGCUUAAAGCCUAGCAAGAGUCACAUCUUUGUGCACAGAUUUAAAGUAUACAAUAUUAUGCCAUGGAAGCGUGAGACGACGUGACUGUGCAUGUAUAGUGCGAUAACUAGAGGGUCAGAGCUUUCUCGCUUGAGCAAGGUAUUUGAAAUCUGCCUCUAAAAUUAUUAUACAUGAUUUUUUUGGCUAUGUAGUAAUCAGCUGUGAGAAACCAGAUGGGCCAACUGCAACAAAAGCUUGGAAUUUUUGUUCAUGCAACACAUCUAACCAAAGGAAAAUAAGAGUCCACGAUAGUGAAACCCUGAGACGAGGGACAUAUACACACAAUGUCUCAAACACAGCUGAAGGGUUUAUUCCCACAAAAGAUACUCAACUCACAGAGUCAGAAAGUGAGUCACAACAGUAAACUGAUCAGCUUCCUCAAGACCAGAAAAAAGGUGACUGAGGGAUCUCUGACACAGUUUCCACAACCCAGUAUGGAGAGCGUUUCCUUAAGAAUCCUCUUCUGUCGGUUACCCUCUUUGGUCAUCACAACAGUAUCCUUCCACAACAGACGGCUACCCUUGCACAAUUCCAAAUGUUUCACAAUUUUCGAACAAUUAUCAUUAUUUUUUUACUUUCAAUGAGUGCUCUCUUAUAGCUGGUCAUUCACACAUCGCUUUGGCUGGCCAGUGCAAAAAAAAAAAAGAAAAACUGCAUCCAAGAGCAAUCUGAUAUGCAAAUUUGAUUGGCCAGAACCUGUGUCAGCAAUCCUUCAGUGACCUUCCCUGUGGCCUUUAGGAAGCUGGUGACUUUCCCGUUGUGCUUCGCUUUCUGUCUCUGUGGUUUGAGUAUGUUGUGUUUGAAUAAACCCUUCAGCUGUGAAAGAUGAAAGGCACUGAAAAGGUUAGCUAGCUGUAGGAGUCGAACCCACAUCUUCUGGAUUGCCUCCAUCUCUCUCCUUGUCCCUCAGCUGUGUUUGAUAUGUUGUUUGUGUAUGUCCCUUCUUGUCCCUCGUCUUUGGGUUUCGCUAUCAUGGAUACUUAUUACCAGCUCACUUGCUACUUAACCUUCCUUUCACUAUGCAUAAGAGGUUUUCGUAGUUUUUGUCAUUGUUCAAGAUAAAUCAUAGUCCAUGGUACAAACGUUGCAUGACAACAGAGCUUUGCACAAUUUGUGAAAUGUGUAUUACAUCAUACAUUACAUUAUAUCAUAAUCAUACAUUACAUCAUGUUUUUGAUGCAGUCCAUAUCCAAACCUAUACGAACUUCUCGCAUUGCAGUGUGCUUCUAUCAUAGGAAAUUUAUGCCACAAUAUAUUCAGCAUUGACUUAGGUUUGUUUGUGUUUCCAUGAGUGCAUUGCCGUUGUCUUUGUCGGUACAAUUUAAAUUACUUUUGGCCACUGUUGACGUUGAUUGGGGGUAAGACUGGUAUGCUACUCGGCAGUACUUUGACAUAUAUGUGUGCAUCUUGUAGCCUAAUACGUAUGUUGGAUUUUGUGGGUGUGUUGAAGAGGAAAACGAGUUGUAAUAAAA